rnacentral:rRNA from 1 species
GAUGAACGCUAGCGGGAGGCUUAACACAUGCAAGUCGAGGGGUAUUGUAGCAAUACAUUAGACCGGCGCACGGGUGAGUAACGCGUAUGCAACCUGCCGUUAACCGGGGGAUAGCCCGUCGAAAGGCGGAUUAAUACCCCAUAAUAUUGGGAUUCUGCAUGGGAUUUCAAUUAAAGCUGAGGUGGUUAACGAUGGGCAUGCGUGACAUUAGCUAGUUGGUAGGGUAACGGCCUACCAAGGCUACGAUGUCUAGGGGUUCUGAGAGGAAGGUCCACCACACUGGUGCUGAGACGCGGACCGGACUCCUACGGGAGGCAGCAGCGAGGAAUAUUGGUCAAUGGGCGAGAGCUUGAACCAGCCAUCCCGCGUGCAGGAAGACGGCCCUAUGGGUUGUAAACUGCUUUUGCGCAUGAAGAAUGUUACCGACGUGUCGGUAAGUGACGGUAAUGCGUGAAUAAGCAUCGGCUAACUCCGUGCCAGCCGCCGCAGUAAGAC